GAGGGUGUAGCUCAGUGGUAGAGCACAUGCCCGGCGUGCAGGAGGUCCUGGGCUCAAUCCCCAGGCCCUCC
rfam:Camelus ferus unplaced genomic scaffold scaffold1095, whole genome shotgun sequence.